GAUGAACGCUGGCGGCGUGCCUAAUACAUGCAAGUCGAGCGAAUGGAUUAAGAGCUUGCUCUUAUGAAGUUAGCGGCGGACGGGUGAGUAACACGUGGGUAACCUGCCCAUAAGACUGGGAUAACUCCGGGAAACCGGGGCUAAUACCGGAUAACAUUUUGAACCGCAUGGUUCGAAAUUGAAAGGCGGCUUCGGCUGUCACUUAUGGAUGGACCCGGGUCGCAUUAGCUAGUUGGUGAGGUAACGGCUCACCAAGGCAACGAUGCGUAGCCGACCUGAGAGGGUGAUCGGCCACACUGGGACUGAGACACAGCCCAGACUCCUACGGGAGGCAGCAGUAGGGAAUCUUCCGCAAUGGACGAAAGUCUGACGGAGCAACGCCGCGUGAGUGAUGAAGGCUUUCGGGUCGUAAAACUCUGUUGUUAGGGAAGAACAAGUGCUAGUUGAAUAAGCUGACACCUUGACGGUACCUAACCAGAAAGCCACGGCUAACUACGUGCCAGCCGCCGCGGUAA
rnacentral:rRNA from 1 species